AAGUCGUAACAAGGUUUCCGUAGGUGAACCUGCGGAAGGAUCAUUAAUAAGAGAAAGGGUUUCUUUUUGAGCCCGACCUCCAAACCCCUGUAUACGUACCACAUUUGUUGCUUUGGCGAGAGACCACUAAUUCUAGUGAUUGGUGGAGGGCCCCUCUUGCCAAAAAAAUAUUCAAAAACCUUUUGUAAAAAGAGUAUUUCUGAGUCAAACUUUAAUAAAUUAAAACUUUCAACAACGGAUCUCUUGGUUUUGGCAUCGAUGAAGAACGCAGCGAAAUGCGAUAAGUAAUGUGAAUUGCAGAAUUCAGUGAAUCAUCGAAUCUUUGAACGCACAUUGCGCCCUCUGGUAUUCCGGAGGGCAUGCCUGUUCGAGCGUCAUUUCUGAACCUCAAGCUCAAGCUUGGUUUUGGGCUUUCGUCGCACCUUUCUAGGGAUGACGAGCUCUAAAUGCUUUGGCGACAGUUCUUCAACUCAAGCGUAGUGAAAAUUCCGUUUUGGGGCUUGAAGGCCUGUUUGCUUCUAAAAAAUAAAAUUAUUUUACAAUAGAUUGACCUCGGAUCAGGUAGGGAUACCCGCUGAACUUAA
rnacentral:rRNA from 1 species